rfam:Oryza glaberrima chromosome 12 Oglab12_0022_18, whole genome shotgun sequence.
UUUGAGUGUAACCAUUAGUUUCUGUGCCCAACUUUGAUCGUCCGUUUUAUUUGAAAUUUUUUAUAAUUAGUAUUUUUGUUGUUAUGAGAUGAUAAAACAUGAAUAGUAUUUUAUGCGUGACUUAUGUUUUUAAAUUUUUUUUUAAAAUUUUUUCAAAUAAGACGGACGAUCAAAGUUGAGCACGGAAAAGCAUGGUUGCACUUAAA